AUGGCUACUCGUGAUGCUUGUCCACUAUGUGGCUCUCCCGAUUUGUGGCGGCAUGCAUUGGUGUCAUGUUCUUUGGCUCGCUGCACCUGGGCACUGUCCGAUCCCGGUCUAUUCGCGAAGAUGGCGAAGAUUGAUGAAGCCAGUGCAAAGAACUGGUUGUUUCGUUUGAACGAGGACCUGGAUCACAAGUUAUUUACAACACUGGUUGUGACUCUUUGGGCAAUAUGGUAUGCCAGGAGGAAGGCCAUCCAACGGACAGCAGCAAUCAGCGGAGGGCCAAGAAGAUGGAUAGCUCCACCAGAGGGGCUGGCGAAAAUCAAUGUUGAUGGAGUUGUUGCGCAACAUAAACGUGGAGGGGCAGUUUCUGUGGUGUGCCGAGACCACACGGGACUAUAUCUGGGUUCUUCGGCGGCAGUCUAUAGAGGCAUCACCGAUCCCACAACCCUGGAAACUUUCGCUUGCAGGGAGGCGUUGGCGCUGGCUCUGGAUCUUCAGCUCACAAACAUGAUGGUCGCUUCAGACUGCAAAGGCGUGGUACUGGACAUAAACGAGGGGACAGGAGGUCCGCAUUCGGCUAUCAUACAUGAAAUAACGCAACAGAGAAGCUCCUUCGACUUAGUCUCUUUUGUUUUUGAACAUAGAAAUCACAAUUUCGAGGCUCAUAAUCUCGCCAAGUUCGCUUAUAAUUUAGAAGUAGGUCGCCAUGUUUGGCUGGGAAUUCCCCAUGACCAGAUCUGUGUACCUAUGAACAUUUCUACAAUUUAA
rnacentral:rRNA from 1 species